AGGUAAGAGCUGCUAGAGCCUCCUUUCAGGUCCAGGUGUGUGUGUGUGUGUGUGUGUGUGUGUGUGUGUGUGUGUGUGUCAGAGAGAGAGAAUUCCAUGGAGGCGGAGGAGGUGGGAGAGUAAAGUCUGUCACGGUGGAACUUCUGCCCAAGCAGAGACAGCUUCGUGGUGGAUUUCAGAGAGGCAAGAUGGAGCCACCUGCAAGCUUCAAGACCAGCUGGGGAAGAGUAAAUUAGAGUGUCCGCCGCCCCACAUCUAUCUUCUACACCUGCUCCUUUAUUUUUCUUUCUGGAGGGCUUAGAGAAACUUACUGGGCAGAAGGAAGAGCUCCUCACUGGGUUUCAGGAAUCUCACUAAAGGAAAUGGUCACAGAAAGAAGAGUCACUCAGUAAUUGGGAUGAUAAGAAAGGGGCCCUGCGUCUCUGGCCUGUUGUCAGGCCCUGCCGGGCUCUUCACUGUUCGGAGCCACAUCUAUGGAGCCAAACUGCCUCGACCCACUUUCUGAGGAGGAGACAGGCAGGAAGUGCCUGCCCUAGCCAGGUUCAGCCCGCAGAGGGUGUUCCAGACUCCAGGCAGCCUGCUGGCCCAGCUCCAGGCCCAGGUGGCUGCAGGAUCCAUGAUGGGUGACUCAGGUGCUUCCUGAUGCUUCCAAAGCUGGGCUUGGAGCUGAUCCACCAGCACCUGUGCUGUCUGAUGAUGCCAUGGAGGCCACUGGGCUGAAAGAGCUCUACUUAGACCACAUACAAUAUGAUGAGGAAACUGAGGCUGAGUCACAGGCUCAGAAACACACAGCUGGAGACCGGGUGAAUCCAGGAUCUGAACUCAGGUUAUCUAUCGAACCUAGAGCCUGCCAGAUCCACCUGCCAAGCUACCCGACCUUGAGUUGGUGCUUUUUUCCCCCUUUGUUCUUUUUUCCUCCCUCCUUCCCUCCCUCACUUUCUCUCUCUCUUUCUGAUGGAGUUUCGCUCUUGUUGCCCAGGCUGGAGUGCAAUGGCAUGAUCUCAGCUCACCACAACCUUCGCCUCCCAGGUUCAAGUGAUUCUCCUGCCCCUGCCUCCUAAGUAGCUGGGAUUCCCAGCCUGCGCCAACACACCUGGCUAAUUUUGUAUUUUUAGUAGAGAUGGGGUUUCUCCAUGUCAGUCAGACUAGUCUCAAACUCCUGACCUCAGGUAAUCCACCCACCUUGGCCUCCCAAAGUGCUGGGAUUACAGAUGUGAGCCACUGCGCUCAGCCUAUUUUUCUUUUUUAUAGACAAAGUAUCUUGCUCUGUCACCCAGACUGGAGUGCAGUGGUAUAAUCAUAACUCACUGCAGUCUCGAACUCCUGGGCUCAAGCAAUUCUCCCACUUCAGCCUCCCUCGUAUAGGACUAUAGGUGUGUGCCAGUACUCCUGGCUAGUGGGCUGGUGCACCUAACUCUCACAGGUACUGCCUCUCUUCUGCUCUGUCAUCAUGACUGUAGUACAAGAAGGAAACUCAGCAUUCAGCCUCAGGAUUCUAGGCCUGGCUCAGCCACAGCCUGCUGUGUGAUCUUGGCCUUCAUUCCCCACUCUGGCCUUCGGAUUCCUCAGUGAUUAGAUCAACUAGUCUGCAACUCUGCCUCCAGUUCUGUGGCUCUGACCCACGUGGAAACAGCAGUGGGGAAGGGCCCUAUCCCCUCCGCCCUUGGACAACCCCACCUGGAAGUGUCUACUCCUGAUUACCAAGGACAGCCUCACGGGCAUUUGAGAAGGGCAGGAAUCACCCCCUGACCUGGUGACACUGAUGGAGCAAAGCUGCUUCCCCACUCUACACUUCAGUUUACCCACUCCUUCCAGUGGAGAUAAUGACCUCUUUGUGCUCUGUGCUACGUGAGUCAGGGUUAAUUAGCAUUAGUCACAGACUUGGGAAUCCUUACAAGAAAAGGGUCAUCUGGUGGGUCUGGGGUGUGCCCUGGCCGUGAUGAGACACCACUCAUGCCCUGGUGAGUGUGUCAUCAUGCUUCAUUAGUGGCUUGCUUAACUGCAGGUUGGCCCUGGGGUGGCCCAGCCCUGAGUGCCAGUGCUGAGACCCGCCCAAGGCUGACAUGUGCGGAGGGCUGCAUGUGUGGCAGCAUGGCUGCCAAUGGCUCAUGGUCCCCUGGGUUUCCCUUUUGGUUGACUUGCCAUUCGAUCUAGUUCUUAUCCUUGCCACUCAAGCCUCUCGUCCUGAAUGCAAGGCCCCAGUUCUGACCUUAAAUUUAGAUAUUUUUUUUUCUUUCUCUGUCUCCUCAAUAAAUAUCCAUUCUCAUUUCUCUGCCCCUCCCGUUUCAAUGCUUUCAGUUCCUUUCUGUUUCCAACACUGCACUUGUAGAACUUAAGUGAGGUUAGGGGAGAGUACCUGUAACAAAAUAAAGACAAAGUUCAGAAUGAUGAAUGUCUGC